rnacentral:lncRNA from 1 species
GUUCACGUGACGAAUAUAGUGUCCGGGGUCAAAAACAGCAGUUCGGCAAGGCGUGAGUGCCCAGAAUUCGUGGCGCGCGCAUGUGGUCUGUGCGCUGCCAAAUUCUCGGGAAACCCGACUUUCGUUCACGUGACGAAUAUAGUGGCAGAGGGCAAAACCAGCCGUUCGGCACGGCGUGAGUGUCCAGAAUUCGUGGCGCGCGCAGGUGGUCUGUGCGCUGCCGAAUUCCCGGGAAACCCGACUUUCGUUCACGUGACGAAUAUAGUGGCAGAGGGCAAAAAGAGAAGUUCGGCAUGGCGAGAGUGCCCAGAAUUCGUUGCACGCGCACGUGGUCUGUGCGCUGCCGAAAUCCCGGGAAACCCGACUUUCGUUCACGUGACGAAUAUAGUGUCUGGGGGUCAAAAACAGCAGUUCGGCAAGGCGUGAGUGCCCAGAAUUCGUGGCGCGCGCACGUGGUCUGUGCGCUGCCGAAUUCCCGAGAAACCCGACUUUCGUUCACGCGACGAAUAUAGUGGCAGGGGGCAAAAACAGCCGUUCGGCAAGGCGUGAGUGCCCAGAAUUCGUGGCGCGCGCACGAGGUGUGUGCGCUGCCGAGUUCCCGGGAAAGCCGACUUUCGUUCACGUGACGAAUAUAGUGGCAGAGGGCAAAAACAGCCGUUCGGCAAGGCGUGAGUGCCCAGAAUUCGUGGCGCGCGCACGUGGUCUGUGCGCUGCCGAAUUCCCGAGAAACCCGACUUUCGUUCACGUGACGAAUAUAGUGGCAGGGGGCAAAAACAGCCGUUCGGCAAGGCGUGAGUGCCCAGAAUUCGUGGCGCGCGCACGAGGUGUGUGCGCUGCCGAGUUCCCGGGAAAGCCGACUUUCGUUCACGUGACGAAUAUAGUGGCAGAGGGCAAAAACAGCCGUUCGGCAAGGCGUGAGUGCCCAGAAUUCGUGGCGCGCGCAGGUGGUCUGUGCGCUGCCGAAUUCCCGGGAAACCCGACUUUCGUUCACGUAGUGUCCCGGGUCAAAACAGCAGUUCUGCAAGGCGUGAGUAAACAUGAAAUUCGUGGCGCGCGCACGUGGUCCGUGCAGAGCCGAGUUCCCAAGAAAAGCCGACUUUCGUUGACAUGACGAAUAUAGUGUCCGGGGC